UACAGAGGUCUCAAGCGUUGUUCGGAUUCAUUGGGCGUAAAGGGUGCGUAGGUGGCGCCGUAAGUGGGGUGUGAAAUUUCGGAGCUUAACUCCGAAACUGCAUUCCAUACUGCGGUGCUUGAGGACUGGAGAGGAGACUGGAAUUUACGGUGUAGCAGUGAAAUGCGUAGAGAUCGUAAGGAAGACCAGUGGCGAAGGCGGGUCGUCUGGACAGUUCCUGACACUGAGGCACGAAGGCCAGGGAGCAAACGGG
rnacentral:rRNA from 1 species